CCUACGGGAGGCAGCAGUAGGGAAUCUUCCGCAAUGGACGAAAGUCUGACGGAGCAACGCCGCGUGAACGAUGAAGGCCUUCGGGUCGUAAAGUUCUGUUGUUAGGGAAGAACAAGUGCUAGUUGAAUAAGCUGGCACCUUGACGGUACCUAACCAGAAAGCCACGGCUAACUACGUGCCAGCAGCCGCGGUAAUACGUAGGUGGCAAGCGUUGUCCGGAAUUAUUGGGCGUAAAGCGCGCGCAGGCGGUUUCUUAAGUCUGAUGUGAAAGCCCCCGGCUCAACCGGGGAGGGUCAUUGGAAACUGGGAAACUUGAGUGCAGAAGAGGAAAGUGGAAUUCCAAGUGUAGCGGUGAAAUGCGUAGAGAUUUGGAGGAACACCAGUGGCGAAGGCGACUUUCUGGUCUGUAACUGACGCUGAGGCGCGAAAGCGUGGGGAGCAAACAGGAUUAGAUACCCUGGUAGUCCACGCUGUAAACGAUGAGUGCUAAGUGUUAGAGGGUUUCCGCCCUUUAGUGCUGAAGUUAACGCAUUAAGCACUCCGCCUGGGGAUACGGUCGCAAGACUGAAGCUCAAAGGAUUGACGGCUGAGACNGCGAGACGACGACGAGGGAGAGG
rnacentral:rRNA from 1 species